UACAGAGGUGGCAAGCGUUGUUCGGAAUUACUGGGCGUAAAGGGCGCGUAGGCGGCCUUCUAAGUCGGACGUGAAAUCCCCAGGCUUAACUUGGGAACUGCGUCCGAUACUGGAGGGCUUGAGUGCGGGAGAGGGAUGUGGAAUUCCAGGUGUAGCGGUGAAAUGCGUAGAUAUCUGGAGGAACACCGGUGGCGAAGGCGGCAUCCUGGACCGACACUGACGCUGAGGCGCGAAAGCCAGGGGAGCAAACGGG
rnacentral:rRNA from 1 species